UCGGGUUGUAAAGCACUUUUUGAGAGGAUGAGGAAGGACGGUACUCUCAGAAUAAGUCUCGGCUAACUACGUGCCAGCAGCCGCGGUAACACGUAGGAGGCAAACGUUAUCCGGAUUUACUGGGCGUAAAGCGCGUGUAGGUGGUACUGUAAGUAGGGCGUGAAAGCUCCUGGCUCAACUGGGAGAGGCCGUUCUAAACUACAGAACUCGAGUUUGAUAGAGGAAGAUGGAAUUCCAGGUGUAGCGGUAAAAUGCGCAGAUAUCUGGAGGAACACCAGUGGCGAAAGCGGUCUUCUAGAUCAAUACUGACACUCAGACGCGAAAGCUAGGGUAGCAAACGGGAUUAGAGACCCCGGUAGUCCUAGCCCUAAACGAUGUAGACUAGGCGUUGGUGGCUUAAACGCCAUCAGUGUCCAAGCUAACGCGAUAAGUCUACCGCCUGGGGACUACGGCCGCAAGGUUAAAACUCAAAGGAAUUGACGGGUCCCCGCACAAGCAGCGGAGCGUGUGGUUUAAUUCGUUGCUACACGAAGAACCUUACCUGGGUUUGACAUAGCAGUGGUAGGGAAGCGAAAGCGGACCGACCCUUCGGGGAGCUGUUACAGGUGUUGCAUGGCUGUCGUCAGCUCGUGUCGUGAGAUGUUCGGUUAAGUCCGCUAACGAGCGCAACCCGCGUGGUGUGUUACAAGUGUCACACCAUACUGCCGAUAUUAAGUCGGAGGAAGGUGCGGAUGACGUCAAGUCAGCAUGACCUUUAUAUCCAGGGCUACACACACGCUACAAUGGUCGGUACAACAGGUUGCCAAGCCGCGAGGCGGAGCCAAUCCUCUAAAGCCGGCCUCAGUUCAGAUUGCAGGCUGCAACUCGCCUGCAUGAAG
rnacentral:rRNA from 1 species